rnacentral:lncRNA from 1 species
UAUCUAAUUCCUGUUUCUUUAAAUUUGUCAUCCACGAUAUCACAUCAUAGAAACGAGAUAUGUCAUUAGUGUAUAAAGUACGAGCCUUUUCCUAAAUCAAAUAAUAUGUCAGGAAUGAACGAAACAAUGGCAUCAACUUGGAAUCAAUAGAUCGCCACAAAAUACUGCAUAAUUGAGCAUCGAUCUUCUCCCGGUGUGCUUUGGCUUUUUUAUCUCCUUCACUAGACUCCUUGAUUAGAUGAUCUUAAACACCUUGACCUUUACACCACAACUCGACAGACAAAGCCUAAGCUAAGUAGUUGGAACCUCCCAUUAAAGGUUCUGAGGUAAUCAUAACACCGGAAUUGCCAGAAGCGGAGUUUUUAGGCCCGAAAGCAUCGACUCCCUAAGACAUCAUGAAAACUUGCUGAAACAGAUGAAGAAAAUACUGUUUUUGCCGGAAAAUUACUGUAGUUGCCGGGAAAAAUCACUGUAGAUGCCGGAAAAAAUUCUCAAAGACAUCGUGAAAACUUGCUGAAACAGAUGAAGGAAAUACUGUUUUUGCCGGGAAAUUACUGUAGUUGCCGGAAAAAAUCAAUGUAGAUGCCGGAAAAAAUUCAAAGUGGUCGGAAUUGAAAAGUAAAAAGAUGGGUAGGCUCGGAAUU